rnacentral:misc_RNA from 1 species
UAACCAGCCUGAGACCCAUAGGCACCUUCUGCCCCUGCAUACCCACCAUAACCAUAACCCUGAGUCCCAUACCCAGUAGCAGACUGCCCAGUUGGCUGGGCAGCCAUCCCACUGCCACCAUAGCCGGCACCAGCAGCGCCAAAUCCUGCCGAAGCUUGAUUGUUCCAGGGGUUCCUCGCCGCACCAGGUGGGCCAGCAGUAGGGGCAGCACUGGCAUAACCACCAGCAGGACCACCCCCAAA